rnacentral:rRNA from 1 species
UACGGAGGGUGCGAGCGUUGUCCGGAAUCAUUGGGCGUAAAGGGCUCGUAGGCGGCCGACUAAGUCAGACGUGAAAUCCCUCAGCUUAACUGGGGGAACUGCGUCUGAUACUGGACGGCUUGGAUUCGGGGAGAGGAAUGCGGAAUUCCAGGUGUAGCGGUGAAAUGCGUAGAUAUCUGGAGGAACACCGGUGGCGAAGGCGGCAUUCUGGACCGACAUUGACGCUGAGGAGCGAAAGCCAGGGGAGCAAACGGG